UGCCAUGUUGGUGUGCUGCACCCAUUAACUUGUCAUUUAACAUUAGGUAUAUCUCCAAUGCUAUCCCUCCCCCCUCCCCUCACCCCACAAUAGGCCCCGGUGUGUGAUGUUCCCCUUCCUGUGUCCAUGUGUGAUUUGAGAAUCUUAAAGCUCAAGUACACUAACCAGCAGGCCAUAUAUUUCUGCUCUGCUUGGGUAUUUUAGACUUCAAGACCCUCUUAAAAGCUGAGAAAGUUUAGACUAAGGACUGUAGUCUACCUCUUACUGCACAUUUUGCAACACAGAUGCUGUUUACAGCACAGACCGGCCCCUAACUCAGUCAAUAAGGGACCAAUCUAAUGCUUCAUAGCCUCUUUUCUCCCAUCUAUCAAGUGAGAAACUAACAAUACCUAUGUCCUAGGAAUACUAUAAUGAUUAAAUGGGAUAAUGCAUGACAAAUGCUUAGCACGAUACCUGCCACUUAGGGAGUGCCCUCUCAUUGUUAGCUACUACUGGGCAUUUAUUAAAGCAACUUUUACCAACUUCCUACAUUUUUUUCUAACGUUAUGCAGAAGAGGAUUUCACAUUUUCCACUUCCCCACACUAACAAACAGAAGGAAAAUGCCACCUGGAAAAAUAUGUGCUGAUGCCAAGAAAUAGAGCUGCAUAAUAGUGUUUAAUGAUGCCCAGUAUAAAAUACCAGACUGUGGGUUAUGUAAACUCUGCUAACUUAUUAGCAGGAGUGGCAGAUAAAAGAUCAAGGAUGAUUGAUUCUUGUCUGGGACAAGGAAAAAGCCAAGAUUUUCAAGUCCAACCAUGUCAAACUAUGACGAUUAUAUGGGUGAACCUAAUUUCCAAAGUAGUAGGCAGUGAGCAGGAAGGAGAAGAAGGGCUGGCAUGAGCGGAGAGGCAAGUGCUCCCAGCCUUCUCACCGUGGGAACAUGCGAUUCAUCCCUGAUGAACCUUUUCCCACACAGAUAAUCACCCUCUUCUCUAAACAUGUUCUAAUCCAUGUAUAUUUGGGUGGAGCCUUGACAGACACACAGAUCUCCAGAAAUGGUGUUCACAACAAAUGAAUAGAAGCAUGUUUGUGUCUACAACAGGAGGAAGAACAGAGGGUGGGAAUUUAUUAAUUUAUAAUAAAAUAUGUGGGAGAGAAUCCAUCAGUUAGGAAAGCUCUUGGCUCCAAGUGACAAAAAACUCAACUACACACUUUGGGAGGCCGAGGCGGGCGGAUCACGAGGUCAGGAGAUCGAGACCAUCCCGGCUAAAACGGUGAAACCCCGUCUCUACUAAAAAUACAAAAAAUUAGCCGGGCGUAGUGGCGGGCGCCUGUAGUCCCAGCUACUUGGGAGGCUGAGGCAGGAGAAUGGCGUGAACCCGGGAGGCGGAGCUUGCAGUGAGCCGAGAUCCCGCCACUGCACUCCAGCCUGGGCGACAGAGCGAGACUCUGUCUCAAAAAAAAAAAAGAAAAAAAAAAAAAAAAAAAAAAAAAACUCAACUACAGUGGCUUAAAAAGAAGGCUUAUUUUUCAACAAUGUAAGUAAGAAGUUUUGAUCUAAGCAAUUGCUAGUGUUGGUUCAGCAGCUUAAUAAUGCCAGGUUGCUGCAGCUCUGAUCAAUACAUUCACAUUCAAGGCAGAAAGAAGAAGAAAAGACCACACCAGCCAUAUCUGUCCCUCUACUGGGAGAGAGGCAGCAUUCUGAGAUCCAGUAGAUUUAUGCUUAUGUGUAAUUGGCUUGAACCAUGACGUAUCUGUCGCUGUGACAAAUGUGUCAUCCCUACUUAUAAGGGAAGCUAGAAAAGUAAGUAUCUGGGCUUAUCUUCUUCCAGAAUGACUGGAGUUGUGUUAGCAACAGCGUGGGAAUGAGUACAAUGCAGACAACAACCAGCCCCUGCCACAGACUCCAGGAAAACUUCCAUUUUCGUUUUCAUCAUUGAACACACAUUCCUCAUGCACAGCCACCAAACUUAUGGUGACCUGAGCAGUAUAUAGUCACAAGGUCGCUUUGAGCAUUUACUACCAUUAAGUCCCUCUCAUUCUCCAGACAACGGGAUUAUCAUUUUCUUCCCCUUGAGGGCUCCUGUUAUCACAGGUCCUUGCUUAUCAGCAAGGAAGAGACAAGAACAAAGAAAAAGUGAAACUGGCAUCUCUCACUUUGCCUACUCGCUAGAAAUGCUGAGACUUUUGGGGUGGAAGAAAUGGAAACAAAUGAAUAGUUUAAAAUGAGGCUGGAGCUGCAUUCAUUCAACUGCAUUUAUUUUCCCUGUUUGACUGAGACAGAAUGACUUGAAGAAAACUGAGUCUCUGGAAUUCACCAUAAGAUGAAGAAAAACCUGUUGUGAAAUCACACUGAGGCUUGUUACACUAUUUACUUUGCUUAGCCACCCUCCUAUUUUGAGAACUCUAACUGUGUUCAGGUAAGCUCGAUACAUUUUGCUUAGUAAGACCAAAGUUUUGUAAAUUAAAUUUUUGGCAAAACAGGUGGAAGAAUAUUGCACUUUUUAGAGUUCACUCUUACUAAAUUUUUCAACAGUGCCUGGGGCAAAAAAGACAAAUACUCUCAGCUUUCUCAGAAACCUUAUUAAGGUUUGACAUGCAGAUAUGCACAUCGUGAGCUCUUAAGCACUUAAUAAAACCUAAGCUAAUUUUCCAAAACAAAGGAUGAAGAGCAAUGUGUUCAGAGAGCAUUAGAGUACAUGGUGCAAUCUCUUGGGAUUAGGAAAGGGUCAAAACUUAGUUCCUUUUGCUUGGGGACUGGUUCAUGAAGAAGGAAGGAGAAGCUCAAGAAAACAUAAGGAAAAACCUUACAAGGGAAUAAUCUGACCCACAGGGAUAGGGAGGAACGAUGAAUGUUGUCUGAAGAAAGAAGCAGAAGGGAUAGAUGAAAAGGCGAGGGGGAUGAUAUCCCUCCUAAACUCACCAAGCUAAACAAAAGGAAAAGCAAAUGAGAGGAUGGACGAAACGGGAAAUGCUGAUAGAAGCAUAAAAUAUCAGAGCAUUUUCUCUGGCCAUGGCCAGAGAAACUUAUAUGUGGAAUCUAAAAAUGUUGAACUCAUGGAAGCAGACAGUAGGAUGUUUUCCAGGGGCUGGGGGAUUGGGUCUAGGGGAUGUUGUCAAAGGGUACACACUUGCAGUUACAUACGGUGAAUAAAUUCUGGGGAUCUAUUAUACAGCAAGGCAACUAUAGUUAAUAAUACUGUAUCAUAUACUCGAAAAUUGCUGAGAGUAGAUCUUUAAUGACAAAUUUAUUUGUUUUUAAGAGACAAAUAAUAAAUGUGUAUAUUUAUGGGGGUAUAACAAUGUGAUGUUUGAUCUACAUAUACAUUGUAGAAAGAUUAAAACAAGAUAAUUAACCCAUCACCUCACCGGCUUACCACUUUUUUAUGAAAUGUUAAGAAGAGAGUAGAUCCUAAAAGUUCCCACCAGCAAAAAAAUUGGUAAAUAUGUGAGGUGAUGGAUAUAUUAAUUGGCUUGACUUAAUCCUUUCACAAUAUAUGCAUAUCUCAAAACAUCACAUUGUACACUGUAAAUAUAUAUAAUUUGUAUUAGUCAAUUAUGCCUUAAUAAAGAUAAAUAAACCUGCAGCUUAUAUUACCAAUUAAUUACAUUUUAAUAGAUGUUCUCACAAUCUA
rnacentral:lncRNA from 10 species